rnacentral:lncRNA from 1 species
UGUAAGUCUAUCCGUGCUGGGAGCUCGGUCUUCAGCCUUGGUGAACAUAGAUCUAUCCGAGCUGAGAGCGAGGCCUCUGGCUCUGUAGCUAAACUUUUAUUGUUAGCAUCUAUUUUGAGAUCGGCGCUUUUUUAGCUAUUAGGCCUUGCGCCUUUUUAGUAGGUCGGAAUCUGACUAUCCGAGCUGGAAGUUCGGCUUCUUCCUUCGUACCUUGAGUUUUUGAGAAGAUAA